UUAAGCGACUAAGCGUACACGGUGGAUGCCCUGGCAGUCAGAGGCGAUGAAGGACGUGCUAAUCUGCGAUAAGCGUCGGUAAGGUGAUAUGAACCGUUAUAACCGGCGAUUUCCGAAUGGGGAAACCCAGUGUGUUUCGACACACUAUCAUUAACUGAAUUCAUAGGUUAAUGAGGCGAACCGGGGGAACUGAAACAUCUAAGUACCCCGAGGAAAAGAAAUCAACCGAGAUUCCCCCAGUAGCGGCGAGCGAACGGGGAGCAGCCCAGAGCCUGAAUCAGUGUGUGUGUUAGUGGAAGCGUCUGGAAAGGCGCGCGAUACAGGGUGACAGCCCCGUACACAAAAAUGCACAUGCUGUGAGCUCGAUGAGUAGGGCGGGACACGUGGUAUCCUGUCUGAAUAUGGGGGGACCAUCCUCCAAGGCUAAAUACUCCUGACUGACCGAUAGUGAACCAGUACCGUGAGGGAAAGGCGAAAAGAACCCCGGCGAGGGGAGUGAAAAAGAACCUGAAACCGUGUACGUACAAGCAGUGGGAGCACGCUUAGGCGUGUGACUGCGUACCUUUUGUAUAAUGGGUCAGCGACUUAUAUUCUGUAGCAAGGUUAACCGAAUAGGGGAGCCGAAGGGAAACCGAGUCUUAACUGGGCGUUAAGUUGCAGGGUAUAGACCCGAAACCCGGUGAUCUAGCCAUGGGCAGGUUGAAGGUUGGGUAACACUAACUGGAGGACCGAACCGACUAAUGUUGAAAAAUUAGCGGAUGACUUGUGGCUGGGGGUGAAAGGCCAAUCAAACCGGGAGAUAGCUGGUUCUCCCCGAAAGCUAUUUAGGUAGCGCCUCGUGAAUUCAUCUCCGGGGGUAGAGCACUGUUUCGGCAAGGGGGUCAUCCCGACUUACCAACCCGAUGCAAACUGCGAAUACCGGAGAAUGUUAUCACGGGAGACACACGGCGGGUGCUAACGUCCGUCGUGAAGAGGGAAACAACCCAGACCGCCAGCUAAGGUCCCAAAGUCAUGGUUAAGUGGGAAACGAUGUGGGAAGGCCCAGACAGCCAGGAUGUUGGCUUAGAAGCAGCCAUCAUUUAAAGAAAGCGUAAUAGCUCACUGGUCGAGUCGGCCUGCGCGGAAGAUGUAACGGGGCUAAACCAUGCACCGAAGCUGCGGCAGCGACGCUGAUGCGUUGUUGGGUAGGGGAGCGUUCUGUAAGCCUGCGAAGGUGUGCUGUGAGGCAUGCUGGAGGUAUCAGAAGUGCGAAUGCUGACAUAAGUAACGAUAAAGCGGGUGAAAAGCCCGCUCGCCGGAAGACCAAGGGUUCCUGUCCAACGUUAAUCGGGGCAGGGUGAGUCGACCCCUAAGGCGAGGCCGAAAGGCGUAGUCGAUGGGAAACAGGUUAAUAUUCCUGUACUUGGUGUUACUGCGAAGGGGGGACGGAGAAGGCUAUGUUGGCCGGGCGACGGUUGUCCCGGUUUAAGCGUGUAGGCUGGUUUUCCAGGCAAAUCCGGAAAAUCAAGGCUGAGGCGUGAUGACGAGGCACUACGGUGCUGAAGCAACAAAUGCCCUGCUUCCAGGAAAAGCCUCUAAGCAUCAGGUAACAUCAAAUCGUACCCCAAACCGACACAGGUGGUCAGGUAGAGAAUACCAAGGCGCUUGAGAGAACUCGGGUGAAGGAACUAGGCAAAAUGGUGCCGUAACUUCGGGAGAAGGCACGCUGAUAUGUAGGUGAGGUCCCUCGCGGAUGGAGCUGAAAUCAGUCGAAGAUACCAGCUGGCUGCAACUGUUUAUUAAAAACACAGCACUGUGCAAACACGAAAGUGGACGUAUACGGUGUGACGCCUGCCCGGUGCCGGAAGGUUAAUUGAUGGGGUUAGCGCAAGCGAAGCUCUUGAUCGAAGCCCCGGUAAACGGCGGCCGUAACUAUAACGGUCCUAAGGUAGCGAAAUUCCUUGUCGGGUAAGUUCCGACCUGCACGAAUGGCGUAAUGAUGGCCAGGCUGUCUCCACCCGAGACUCAGUGAAAUUGAACUCGCUGUGAAGAUGCAGUGUACCCGCGGCAAGACGGAAAGACCCCGUGAACCUUUACUAUAGCUUGACACUGAACAUUGAGCCUUGAUGUGUAGGAUAGGUGGGAGGCUUUGAAGUGUGGACGCCAGUCUGCAUGGAGCCGACCUUGAAAUACCACCCUUUAAUGUUUGAUGUUCUAACGUGGACCCGUGAUCCGGGUUGCGGACAGUGUCUGGUGGGUAGUUUGACUGGGGCGGUCUCCUCCUAAAGAGUAACGGAGGAGCACGAAGGUUGGCUAAUCCUGGUCGGACAUCAGGAGGUUAGUGCAAUGGCAUAAGCCAGCUUGACUGCGAGCGUGACGGCGCGAGCAGGUGCGAAAGCAGGUCAUAGUGAUCCGGUGGUUCUGAAUGGAAGGGCCAUCGCUCAACGGAUAAAAGGUACUCCGGGGAUAACAGGCUGAUACCGCCCAAGAGUUCAUAUCGACGGCGGUGUUUGGCACCUCGAUGUCGGCUCAUCACAUCCUGGGGCUGAAGUAGGUCCCAAGGGUAUGGCUGUUCGCCAUUUAAAGUGGUACGCGAGCUGGGUUUAGAACGUCGUGAGACAGUUCGGUCCCUAUCUGCCGUGGGCGCUGGAGAACUGAGGGGGGCUGCUCCUAGUACGAGAGGACCGGAGUGGACGCAUCACUGGUGUUCGGGUUGUCAUGCCAAUGGCACUGCCCGGUAGCUAAAUGCGGAAGAGAUAAGUGCUGAAAGCAUCUAAGCACGAAACUUGCCCCGAGAUGAGUUCUCCCUGACCCUUUAAGGGUCCUGAAGGAACGUUGAAGACGACGACGUUGAUAGGCCGGGUGUGUAAGCGCAGCGAUGCGUUGAGCUAACCGGUACUAAUGAACCGUGAGGCUUAACCUU
rnacentral:rRNA from 1 species